UCCCCUGUAGCUCAGUUGGCUAGAGCGCCGGAUUGUGGUUCCGGAGGUCAGCAGUUCAAGCCUGCUCGGGGGAACCA
rnacentral:tRNA from 1 species